ACGUUGGCAGUUCAGUGGUAAAAUUCUUGCCUACCAUGCAGGAGACCCUGGUUUGAAUCUCAGCCAGUGUA
rnacentral:tRNA from 1 species